UUUGAGCCGAGGGGCCUUGCGGAAACGACAGGUUGGCGCUAAUCGGAAACGAUAGCAAGUGAGCCCGCAUCAUACCGAAAUCUGAACUGCGGCGUGAUGAGAUACUGUGCCUAUCGCAAGAGGCACGUCAGAUAGUAGCAAA
rnacentral:sRNA from 12 species